CCUACGGGCGGCAGCAGUGAGGAAUAUUGGUCAAUGGACGAGAGUCUGAACCAGCCAAGUAGCGUGAAGGAUGACUGCCCUAUGGGUUGUAAACUUCUUUUAUAUGGGAAUAAAAUGUUUCACGUGUGGGAUUUUGUAUGUACCAUAUGAAUAAGGAUCGGCUAACUCCGUGCCAGCAGCCGCGGUAAUACGGAGGAUCCGAGCGUUAUCCGGAUUUAUUGGGUUUAAAGGGAGCGUAGGUGGAUUGUUAAGUCAGUUGUGAAAGUUUGCGGCUCAACCGUAAAAUUGCAGUUGAAACUGGCAGUCUUGAGUACAGUAGAGGUGGGCAGAAUUCGUGGUGUAGCGGUGAAAUGCUUAGAUAUCACGAAGAACUCCGAUUGCGAAGGCAGUUCACUGGACUGCAACUGACACUGAGGCUCGAAAGUGUGGGUAUCAAACAGGAUUAGAUACCCCUGUAGUC
rnacentral:rRNA from 1 species